GGACAAGCUAAUUACCAGGAAAGUAGGGUGGACUCUAUUGAGAGAAAAAUAAGGGAAACAAUAUUGUAUCUUCUAGCAAGCCUAAGAAACAGGUCAAGAGACAUGUUCCUUACAAAACACCUUUUAUGUUUAGGUUAAGAUAUGACGAUUCUGGUAGUAAUGAUGAUAAAGGAAAGUGCCCUUCUCUGAAUUUCUUGGUGAUAAGGAUAAUGAUGAUGAAAAUCUUAUGGGUAACACAAUGAAUGAUAUUGAUGGCUCUGUAGAUAUAAAGGACACGCUUGAUGCUCAACACACUAUGGUGGAUAAAGGGGUUGCGAUUCUUAUGCGCCGUUUGUUCAUUGAUGUGGUAUGCAAAUGAUUGGUUAGGCAACAAAGUCACAUUGAGG
rnacentral:lncRNA from 1 species